rnacentral:rRNA from 1 species
UACGGGGGGGGCAAGCGUUGUCCGGAAUUAUUGGGCGUAAAGGGCGCGUAGGCGGCCAUGCGUGUCUUCCGUGAAAUCCCUCGGCUUAACUGAGGACGUGCGGAAGAAACUGCAAGGCUCGAGUCCGGGAGAGGGGGGUGGAAUUCCCAGUGUAGCGGUGAAAUGCGUAGAUAUUGGGAGGAACACCGGUGGCGAAGGCGGCCCCCUGGACCGGUACUGACGCUGAGGCGCGAAAGCGUGGGUAGCAAACGGG